rnacentral:lncRNA from 1 species
AUUUCCAGACGCUCUCAAGUCCCCAAGAAGUUUUCCGCUCUAUCCCCGAGCUGACCGAGCGAUGGAAAAGGGGCUGACUGGCCCUGGCACUUCCGAGGUGCGACCUCAGCAAGACAAGUCCCCUCUUCACCAGAGACGACACGGCGGCAGGUGCAGCAACUUUCACCCCGCCUGGCAGCCCGCUGAGAGCGAGAGAAAACCACGUGCACCAAACUUUAGGGGAGGAAAAAUGGGAACGUGGGGAGAAGACGUGAGGCGGCAGAUCUGAAAAAGAUGGUCAUUCCGGACUCCUGACGCCGCCAGUCCCGCGGUGAGACGUGAGCGCCAUUGGCGUCCGUGGCCUCUGUUUCCGUGGCAACCUAGUAACCAUUAAUUUUCAAUUAAAGGAGACAAAAAGCUCGAUGACAGCUCCAGGUCUGCUGAAGAUGUCAAGAAUCUGUAUUAAUAUACAGCAAGAGAGCAUAAUUGUGUGUCCAUCUUCCAGAGCAGCGAAAAAUGGAGGGAUAAUUACCAGCUCGAAAGCCACUCUGUAAUUUAGUUCUUACUGUCACCACAGCCCUACACAUUAGCAUAAAUUAAAAGCAGAGUUUAUUGUUAUCAAAGUGCAUUGAUAUCGCCAGACCUGCUUUCUUCCUUUUAACUGUUUGUUGUGGGUGAGUGACUCCCCAACUCUUGCCAGGGUCUCCCCAGGGUGGGGAGAGUGGAAGUGUGGCUGCUAGACCUGAAAGGUCUAGCUGCCAGCCUCCUUCAGGGCAGGUGGGGACAAGGGUCAGCGUGUUGCCCCUCUGAUAGGGUCUGGGGAUGAUGCAGGGGAUGGAGGAGGCUUGGAUAUUUAUUCACCUUUCACAUGUAAGUGCUUUGUUUUGCCAACGAGUGCUCCAGCUCUUUGCAGAGGGGGCUGCUGCCCCAUCGCGGGUCCCCCUUUAGUGCCUAGUACAGUGCAGGGCAGGUGAUGAGUGCUCUAAGGCAAUGUGUUAAACAAAGGAAUGAGUGCAUGUGUAGGGGUGUUCUCCCGGGGUGAAUGUCAGUGGAGAGACAUUGCAUUCCCUGUUCAGGGCGUGGCCAGCUCAGGUGGAGAUGCUCCUGUCUGUGGCCCAGUUCCUGCUUGGCCACCCAGGACCCCAGCUCCCCAGAGGGGUCCCUCUGGACCCCACGCCCCUAAUCUUGCCGCUUGGCCACCCACCUCCAUGGCCUGGGUGCUGCCACGGCCACCGCCUUCAUACUCACCUCCGAGUGGUUGGAGAACCUCGAAGUGUCUCGCUGCCAGAGUACCAGUGACAGCCACAGAAAUCAUGAGUUUCCGUGAAUGGGGGAUGCGGAGUUUUCUUGUAUUCUAUCCAGAGAGAGCUGUCCUUCAGAGGGGAAUUUAGUGUAAUUACCCUUAAGGGAGCGAUCCUUACACAGUCAGUCACAACACUGACCUCCUGGCUGAGAUUUGACAGCAAAAUUGCAGGCUGUGUACUCAACAGAAGGGGCAUCCUCCUUUUUUGGGUGUUGAGGGGGGAGGCGGGAAGGAAGGAGGAGGAGGGAAAGGAGACUCAGAGGCUUUGAAAAGAAAAGUGCUGGCUUACAGCUGCCAGGCAAGCGGGUUCUCCUUGGCAAGGCGUCUACAGGGCAAGGAGAAGGUGUCCAGAGAUCCCCUGGAACUUCACCUGGCUCAUGAAGAGGGGCCAAGGUAGGCACUCCAGCCCUUCAGAUCUUUGAGCUCUGGUUUGUGAUCUUAGCUAAAGUUAAUCUUAUUGUAAGAAGGAUUUGGAGGGUACUAGGCACUAUUUGAUGAACUUCUCAGGCAUGUUUUCCCAAACAUAUCUGUCCUCGGUCCCUCCCCGGUGCUAGAAGUUCCACUGUUCCUUUUACCUUUAAGUUGACAGAUCCAAGACCCUGUAAACCUGCAUCUGGGUUACCUGGAAGGACUAAUGUGUUAAUCUGUGACCACUCCAAAUUUAGCAUGGAUGCAUCUCUCAGAUGUGCUGGCCCAUCACAUGACUGAAGCCAAAGGACACAGGGGUCAGGCAAAUUUCCGUGAAGGAUUGGAAAAAAUCUGUUGUAUGGGUAGAUCUUGAUGGACUGUGAAGCCUGGCAAGGAAUGGAGGUAAAUCCCCAAAUCUCAAAGCUGGAAGGGAUCCCAGAAGCCAACGGGUCCAAACUUCGCAGAGAAGGAGUCCCCACCUCUCUGUUCUACCUCUACCCAAAACUCAGGGCUGGGCGCGGUGACUCACGCCUGUAAUCCCAGCACUUUGGGAGGCCAAGGCAGGCAGAUCACCUGAGGUUAGGAGUUUGAGACCAGCCUGGCCAACAUGGCAAAACCCCGUCUCUACUAAAAAUACAAAAAUUAGCCAGGCAUGGUGGCACGCGCCUGUAAUCCCAGCUACUUGAGAGGCUGAGACAGAAGAAUCACUUGAACCUGGGAGGUGGAGGUUGCAGUGAGCCAAGAUAGUGCCAUUGCACUCCAGCCUGGGUGACAAGAGUGAAAUUCUGUCUCAAAACAAAAAACAAACAAAAAACAAAACAAAACAAAAAACAACUCAGCCACCUCUGCCCACACAAUUCCUAAUAGCACGAGCUAGCUGUCUCUAUAGAGGUCCAUCCUGCUGUUAAAUAGCCCGGACCAUUGCCAAAUUCCUCCUGAGUGCAAAUGAAAAUCUGUGUCCGUGAAACUUCUUCCUUCCUUUUGGAGCCCCUUUGGAACAAAUCUAGGCUUUCUCUGGCGGGACAGCCCUUCAGCUACGUGGGGACCAUGCUCAGCUAUUAGUCGUCUUCUCCUCCAAGUCUGGGACCCAGUAGACUCAUCACCAUCUGGCUCAUCCUUUCAGGAAAGUGCCCAAAAGGAGUCUGAAAGGGCACAGGACAGCCCAAAAUGCAAAUCCAAUGUUUAUUGAGCAUCUGCUAUGUUCCAGGCAGAAACACCCACCAUAUCUCUUUUCUUUUUUUUCUUUUUUUGGAGACGGAGUCUCGCUCUGUCACCCAGGCUGGAGUGCAGUGGCACGAUCUCAGCUCACUGCAGCCUCCACCUCCCAGGUUCAAACAAUUCUCCUGCCUCAGCCUCCCAAAUAGCUGGGACUACAGGCUCAUGCCGCCAUGCUCAGCUAAUUUUUUGUAUUUUAGUAGAGAUGGGAUUUCACUGUGUUGCCCAGGCUGGUCUCAAACUCCUGAGCUUAGGCAACCCGCCCGCCUCGGCCUCCCAAAGUGCUGGGAUUACAGGUGUGCACCACUGCGCCUGGCCCCAUAUCUCUUUUCAUCCUCUCAACCAAUUCAAUGAAGGGAGGAUAUAUUAUUCCCAUUUUACCGUAGAGAAAAGAAGGACGCAAGAAGCUUCAAAUCACUUGCCCCAAAUCACCUGCCAGCAAGGGGCAGAGCCAGAACUGGGAGCCCAGACUCCUGACCCAGGCCAAAGACUUUCCUUGAGAAUCCAGCUGCGUUGGUCCCUACACCCCUUGGCCACCACUGGGUUUGGGGAAUGAGCUCUGCCAUCAUUCUCCUGUCUCUCUACCUCCAUGAUGCUUUUCUGCAGGGCCUUUCUCUCCACUUGGCAGGGAGAAGGAAUUCCAGGGAAAACCCAGCUUAAGUCCUGCAUCCUCCCUGAAGGCUUCCCUGCCCAUCCCAGGCCUCAGUAACUGCUUCAGUAUAAUGACAACAUUGGACGUUAUUUACUGACCACAGGACUAUGCUUCAGCACCUACCCUAAGGUAUUUUAUUCAAUCCUCCAGGCUUUUGCCCUGGCUGAGGGUUCUGCCUGAGCUUCUCUCCCCUCAGAUACCUGCAUCUCCUUGAAGGACCACCUUCUCUGGGAGGUCCAACCUAACCAUCCUUUCCCAGGUCUUUGUACCCGCUUUAUUUCUUUCUAUAGCUCAUGUCACCUUCCGAAGAGUAUUUAAUUUACUGAUUAUUGUGCUCAUUGCCUAUCUUCCUCCUCUUUAAGUUCCAAAAGGACAGAGGCUGUAUUUUGUUUACUGUUGCAUCCCAAGCACCUAGAACAGUGCCUGACAUACGGUAGGUGUACAAGCGAUAUCUGUCAAAUGACAGGAGGAAAACUCAAAACCCUUUGAGGCAGGUGUGUUGUUUUCACAGCAGAGAGGAACUAGGGCUCUAGUUCUGGGUUAGGUGGCUUGUCCAAGGUCACAGAGCUGGCCAUACCCAGCUGUGUAUUGGGCUGCUGAGUAUGAGGCUGUUUGGGGUGGGCCUUGAGCCUGAGCCUGUUCUGAGCUUUGUGUGUGUGUGUGUGUGUGUGUGUGUGUGUGUUUGGUGGCUUCCUAGGGGAUUUCUGCCUGCAUUCCAACCAGCAGGUCCUUCCAGGCACCCCUCCCCUCCUUUACAGGGCUUCUUCCCUUCCUGCAGCUCCUUUCAGCCCCUGCUUUCUUGCCCCAAGCCUGGAGAGGCCUGUGAGUGCAGUCCAGCUAACUUCCCUCCCCUGAGCUCAUGGGUCCCUGCCUGGGCUGAAGUCCACACCGGGAGCCCAAGGUGCCCCUGGAAGGCCCCCACCCUGGCCUCCGAGUGGUUCCUCUCCCCAGAGAUGUAAAUCCGGGCCCCAGAGUGGCCACACAGAACAUACAUCUUAAACAAACACUUCUCCUUGCUGUUUAUCUCCCUGGCCUUUAAACAAACUCUUUCAAAGGUUUCUGCUGAUAGGAGAGAUUUACUGAAAACCAUUCCUUGCUUAAAAGCCCUGGGUUUAUGCUGCUGGGGUGGGGGCAGUGGGGCCUUCAGGCCUGGGGUUUCUCUGCCUCCGGACCACAUGUUUAUCCUCCAGGCCUUGAUAGAGGAGCAACACAGACUAAUCUUUAUGGAAAAGAAAAUAAUAAAAGCAGGAAAGGGGAGGGGUGGAGGCUGGGGUGCGUUUGGUUCUUGUCACUGACUCCAAGAGGUUGUGGCAGGUCCGGGUGUGGCAGUGCCCACCACACUGUAGCCCUGCCUGUUGGGGGUGGGGUGAGCUGAGCAUCUGGGAGGGGUGGGGCUCCCUUGAACUUUGGACAGAAGGCCUUUGGGCAGGUGAGCCUCUUCUCCGGCUUCCAGAGGCCAGAGUGGGCCUCUCCCUGCUGGAUGGGGGUUGGAGGGAGGGCAGCAGUCACAUGAUCAUGUCUAUUCCUGCAUCAACCAACAGUCAGAAGGCACCUAGCCUGUGCCAGGACCUGGGGGUGGAGAGAGGAAUAGUUGUUAACAAUUACUUUAGCAUUUCUGUGGGCCUGGUACUGUUCUAAAUCGCUUACAUGAAUCAACUCAUUUAAUGGCCCCAGUAGAUUCUAUAAUUAUCCCAAUUUUGCAUAUGGGGAAACCAAGUCACAGAAAGAUUACUGGCUGUACUCCAGAGGUUUUGGUUUAACUGGGAUGCAGGCUGGGCAUUGGAUUCCAGGAUGCAUCCCAAGUGGAAAAAGAUUGACAUUCCCAUUUCCCACCCACUCCCCACUUGUCCUUCCAAUAAUACAGUAUCUCUUCCAUUUCAAGGCGUCUCACAAUUCAUUGACAGUGGUAUUUUUUUCUUAGUGGAUCGUAAAAUAAUGGUGCAUCUUACAGUCUUAGGUUCAACAAAAUAUAGUAAUAGAAAACUAACCUCUACCAACUGUGGGGACUGAGCUGGAUGAUUUGCAUCCAUUAUCUCAUUUAAUCCACCUCCCAAAGCUGCAACAUAGGUCACAGGAGCACCUCUGAUGAGAAAACUGAGGCACCAAGAAUUCAAUAACCUGCCCAAGAUCACCCAGCUGGUGGGAGGUGGAGGCAGGAUUUGAACCCACAGUUAAAUGGCCUAAUAUUUAUCCCCAACCCUUAUAGAGCACCUUAUAUGAUUCAAACUGUCUUCCGACCUGUUUUGUCCAUUGAGGAAGACGCUGAAAUCCAGAAAGUUUAAGUGACCUGCUCUAAGUUACACAUCUGACUUCUCAACCUAUAACUGUGGGAGAACCAUGGGAAGUGGGUUUCGUUGUUAUUAUUGUUGUUUGCUUGUCUUAAGCCUACCUGGGCUUUUAUAGCUAGAAGCCACUCCUAAGAGAACAUGACCAGGAAAGUGGGCCAGGGCCAGGGCAGGGGCCCCUGAGAGUAUGGGCCAUCCUGGGGUCUUGGGUGCUGAAGGUUGGAGCCAAGGCCUGUCGUGGGACCUCCCAAGGGCAGAGGACUUGAGCAGGGGCAGAUGUCAUUGCAAAGACUCCACUGACUUCCGUCUCUGUUUUGUUUGUGAAGCGAAGUUGCUGCAGUGGCAGGUGGGGAGGCAGCAGAAGGCCAGGUAGGAAUUUCCAGUCCUUCCCUGGGCCCAUAGCUCAGGCCGGAAGCCACUCCCUUCCUCCAUGUUUACAUGCAGCGGGCCACACCCCUUCAGAUGGCACAGACUGACACCCCCUUCCGGUCCCCCUGCUCCAGGCCAAAUACUUUUUCACUCACGUUAAAGCACCUUUCAGCACCUGGGCCCUGAGCUGGGGAGCAUUUCCAGGGAGGAAAGAAGGGAGAGGGUAUGAGGAGGAGGCUGGGGGUGGGUUGAGGGAAGGUGAGGAGCUGGGGGUAGUGGAGACUAGGAUGAAGUUAUGUGAGUGAUUGUCUUGCACCCAUCAUCUUUCUUUUUGUAUUAUUCUUUCCUUAUAUAGUGACAUCCAGUUUCCAAAACCUUUCCUUCCUCCUAGCAACUCUUACCCUAAGAUACUUAAUUCACACCAAGGUAAACACGACUAAUAACAGCUUCCAAAGUGAUCCUUUCAAGGGCAUUUUGGCAGUGGCCUCUUUAUUUGUUCAUUCAUUCUUUGAUUUCCUCAACAAUUUCCUUUGGCAUUCCUGGAGACCCUCCAUCCUAUCUCGAAGGCUUAGCUGGGACACCUCUAAGCUGUUUGGUGGGCUGCUGUCCAAACUCUGGGCUUUGUGGGUAGUGGCAUCCACACCCUCUGACAGCAUGUAGGUAUAUUGGCAGCAACCCAAGCUGUCUUUUUUGCACCUUCAAUGGAAGGAAAGGCAAUUUCUCCUCAUGAAAAAAGUUUGGGAGACUUUACCUAAAUGUAAAGGGAGGUGCUUUAAUGAUAUAUCUCCAGGAAUCAAACCCAUCAGUCCAUCUGAGUUUGGUCAUGGGCUGAGCUCCCCAGGGCAGCUGGGCAGGAGCCCUUCCAGGACAUCAGAACUUGGGGUAGAAUUUCCACCCCACUGGCCCUCAGGGCUCUGCAUAGAUUUCUCUCUCUGUCCUUCUUGGUAGGGAAGUGGCUGAUCAUGAGGAAGACCCUGAGCUCAGAGCUGGAAGAUAUCCAGGGACCCAUCCACCCAGUAGUUUGCAGAGGACAAAAUGACUCAAAAGUAUACCGAAAUCCAAAAUAUAAAACAGCUAAGAGUUAAAGCUCCAGUUGAAGGCAAAGGUCUAGACCCUGCCUCCUCUGCUCUCCCACUUGGCCCAUAAGUGGUCCAAAGCUUCUCUGUGGACCUCCAAAGCUCAGGAGAACACGAAUAGAAUCCACUGAGCCAGUCUAGUGAUCCAUUUUAUAGACAAAGAAACUGAGUCAGAGCAUGAUGGGAUGGAUGUGAGUCCUUAGGGGCCUCCACCCUUCCAUGAUCACUUCUGGCUCAUGUUCAUUCCCUGGACUCAUAAUGUACCCUUCUUUCUAACUUGACCUGCACAAUUCUACGGACUCUUCAGGCUCAGCUCAAAUGUCACCCUCCACCAUGGAGCGUUCCUCAAUUCUCUCCUCCAGUUCUGGCCCUACUCCCACCCAGUUCGGUGUUCCUGGAGCUCACUGCUUUUGCAUCUCUCUUAAGUUCAACCUCUCAUUUCUGCCCAUUUGAAGCAGCUCUUUUCUCCCUUGUCAGGCUGUUGGUCUCCUUGAGGUCAGGAGGUUUUUAAAAAAUCCCAAGCCUCCAGCCCAUGAGUAGGUGUGCAAUCACAGUGAGGCUGCUGACAUGUUUUCUUGGGUGAUGGUGAGAUGCUUUGCCCACUGGGGUCAGGGUCUCCCUACUGGACGGCCCUAGUUCUCAUCAAUUUGGUGGGGAGGGCAUAGAGUUUGAUUAAACAGUUACUUGGAUACCUGAAGUAGGGCAGGGAAGGGGAUACAGAACCUUCAGAGCCUGGGGAGGAGGGACCCUUCUGCUCUAAAUUGUCCACUCGCUCCAUCCUCAAGAAGAUGGAGAGCAGAAACAGGGGCAGGGGAAGAGAGCUGGGCCCCGCACACUUCCCACCAUCACUGAUUUCCCUCUUCUCUGGCAUUUUAAGAGCUCAGACUCAAACCCUUCAAGGGCUUUUGAAACAAUUAGAUUUGAAAGUGCCCAGUGCUUGGUCUAAUUGCUUAAAAGCCACUUCAGGCUUCAACUGACCCAGAGUAAAGCCUGGGGGGUGGGUAGAGGGGAGGGGAGACCCGAGACACUCUGUCGCCCUGUUUCCCAGGCCUUCCUGGACAACCAAGGCCUAGGUGAGUGGUGAUGCCAAAUAAGGGCCUUCAACUUUUCCCGGGGGGGCAGAGCCACCAUACUCUUCCUGCCCCUUUCCCAGCCCUUGCCCCCAGGGAACCGCUCACAUCUAACCUUUCUCUAAGAUACCUUCUCACGCAAAUUCCAGCAUUCCUAGGGGUGAUUGGAGCACUUAUGUCCAGAACCAAUUUUCAGUGUCAAAAAGUGGACUGAGCCAGUGUAAAGAGGCCGAGAAGUAUCAGGAGACAAGCCUUGGUGUGUCCAACUCAAGAUGAUGCUUUGCUUCUGGGAUAUUCUGAGAUUGGGGAUUUUGCAAUCUCUAAGUCAGUUCCAUCUCUCCAUGCUUUCGUGAUUACUCUUCUCCCAAGUUCUUUUUUUUUUUUUUUUGAGACAGAGUCUUGCUCUGUCACCCAGGCUGGAGUGCAGUGGCGCGAUCUCGGCUCACUGCAAGCUCCGCCUCCCAGGUUCACACCAUUCUCCUGCCUCAGCCUCCCGAGUAGCUGGGACUACAGGCACCCGCCACCAGGCCCAGCUAAUUUUUUUGUAUUUUUAGUAGAGACGGGGUUUCACCAUGUUAGCCAGGAUGGUCUCGAUCUCCUGACCUUGUGAUCUGCCCGUCUUGGCCUCCCAAAGUGCUGGGAUUACAGGUGUGAGCCACCGCA